CCUUUGUACACACCGCCCGUCGCUACUACCGAUUGAAUGGCUCAGUGAGGCUUUCGGACUGGCCCAGAAAGGUCGGCAACGACUCUUCAGGGCCGGAAAGUUACCCAAACUCGGUCAUUUAGAGG
rnacentral:rRNA from 1 species